rnacentral:piRNA from 2 species
UUAAUGUGCAGAACAAACGUUGUA